UAGGGAAUCUUCCACAAUGGACGCAAGUCUGAUGGAGCAACGCCGCGUGAGUGAAGAAGGUUUUCGGAUCGUAAAGCUCUGUUGUUGGUGAAGAAGGAUAGAGGCAGUAACUGGUCUUUAUUUGACGGUAAUCAACCAGAAAGUCACGGCUAACUACGUGCCUG
rnacentral:rRNA from 1 species